UUGUGAACGAGGACAAAGCCCUUUAAUCCGAUUUCAUCAUUCCGGUUGUUGCUCCUAGAGUAUUGUUGGUAAAGUGCUUUCUCUUUAAAACAGCAAAGUAGAACAAGCGCGUCCCGGCUCGGAAACCCCGAGUUUCACGAUAGCAGGAGGGGCGGAGCGCGCCGGGGGGGAAUUCUACAGGCCACACAAAGGCCGACGCUCCCUUUUCUGGUUCGGUCAGGUUUGAGAAAUGCCUCCCUGUCCCUUGCGCGGGAGCCUUCCGCCCAGGUGAAGGUGGGCCUUGUUGCCUUGGCGACAGCGAGUGGGGCUGAGCGGCUGCUCCGACAGCCAAUAGCAGCCUGGAGGGGCGGGGCCAGCUGGGGCCUGCGCGUCAGCGGCGGGGCUCGCAGGUGUCCGGUCUGGCCGGCCGCCCAGCCCGAUAAGCAUGCAGCUGCUGUGUUUGGUGGCCGUGGUCGGCUGUUUGCUGGUGCCCCCGGCUCAAGGCAACAAGAGUUCUGAAGAUAUCCGGUGCAAAUGCAUCUGUCCGCCGUACAGGAACAUCAGUGGACACAUUUACAACCAGAAUGUGUCGCAGAAGGACUGCAACUGCCUGCACGUGGUUGACCCCAUGCCUGUGCCCGGCCAUGACGUGGAGGCCUACUGCUUGCUGUGCGAGUGCAGGUACGAGGAGCGCAGCACCACCACCAUCAAGGUCAUCAUUGUCAUCUACCUGUCGGUGGUGGGGGCCCUCCUGCUCUACAUGACUUUCCUGAUGCUGGUGGACCCUCUGAUCCGAAAGCCGGAUGCGUACACAGAACAGCUGCACAAUGAGGAGGAGAACGAGGAUGCUCGCUCUAUGGCGGCUGCCGCGGCCUCCUUCGGGGGACCCCGCGCCAACACGGUCCUGGAACGUGUGGAAGGCGCUCAGCAGCGGUGGAAGCUGCAGGUGCAGGAGCAACGGAAGACGGUCUUCGAUCGGCACAAGAUGCUCAGCUAGAGGGCCCGGCACAGUCGGGCCAAGGACCAGCGGCCACGGCUGGAUAGAGCCAGGGGCCACUCUCCCCUCCUUCGACGCCACCCUUCCUGGGUCUUCCCUUUAAAAGCCUGUGGCGUUUUUUCCUCCUUCUGCCCCUCUUUAGAAACGUUGUUCUCAGCUGAGUUAAUUCCGGAAGCGUGAUGGGGUCCCCGAUCUCUCGUUCGCCUGCUCAGGUCUUGGGGGUUUGUGGGGGGAAGGCAGGCCAAGAGGGGAUGGAGGCGUCCGUCUCAGGCGGCCUCAGGGUUGGAAGGAGCCUCUCUCUCAUUGCUCCACCCUUGCCACCUCUCCGGCUCCAAAUCCCGGGAAGGUUCCAGCCUCUGGAAGGUGGAGCUGGGUCGUCAGGACCUCGGUGUGUGGGAGGAAAGCCUGGCCCCUGCCACCUGUGCUGCUUUCUGCUGUGGUUGUGGUGGCUGCCUUCCUCGCCACCCCGAGACGUCAGCCCCCGAGCACCCAUCCCCUCUUCCUCCUCCCUCCUCUCCUCCCCUGACGCAUGGUGGUGGCCGUGCACCCUGCCUCCUCUCGGCCCGGCCCUCCCGCCCACUCAGGAGGCCAGGCAGGCCCCUUGCCUCCCUGUGUGUGUUGUCACUGAGCCAGACGGGUGGUGGGACCACGCGGCACAAGGCCGGGCGGUGGCUCUGAAUGCCACAGCCUUGGGGCACCACGCAUCCCUGAAUUUCCUUGUAGCGUGCAUGGGCAGACAUGUUUGUCUACCGUUGUCUGUAAGUCAAGGAAGCCAUCAUUAAAUUGUCUUAUUUCUCACUUUCUGGAUUUCAAGAGACUUAGAGAACUGAGUGUCCCACGUGUGGCCUGGUGAGUCCUGUGUCCCAGAGAGGGGACGGAGCGUCAUCUUGGCGGGUCCAGAAGAGAGGCAGACGUGGCAGUCCUGGUGGCCAGGGCAGAGCCCACGGGGAGUCCAUGUGGAGGCCCCCUGAUGGGGAGAGACUGGCCACGGGGCCUGCUCCUCACGGCUCCCUGCCCUGCGAGGGGUGGGGAGCGGACUAGCCCCGGGAGUGACCCGGAAACAGGAUCCGUGUUUGUCUUUGUGGGGGAGCCCCCUGAAGCUCUGAAUUUGUCUGACGUCAGUCUCUUGCAGGCACCGUAAGGGAUGUCACUGUCAAGCUCCUUGAGUUUCUGGAUGAAACCAGCAGGUGUUGGGGGGGCGCAGCCAGGGGAACAGAGCAGCUCCGGGGCCACACGGAGGAGCCCAGCACCGGCUUCCCUCCCUCCCACCCCAGGAAGUGCAGAUCGGGGGGCCGUUGGAGCCCGGGCAGAAACGAGGGACCUGGAGGGGCCCAUUGGGUCUGAUCGAAGUUCCUGUCCUCCGGGGUUGUCCGAAUAAGCGUGUAUUAAGGCUCUUGUGUGGGUUCUGUGCAGGUUCUUGGUGAGGUGCGUGGGGGGUGGAUCUUGGUCUACAAAAAUUUGCCCAAGUUCAGAGCUGAGUACAAGUCCUAAAGGGAGGGGCGACCUGCACACGGGGUCCCAGGAGAGCAGAGCCGAGAGGGGCUCAGCGAUGGUGGGUCCUGAGGGUGCCAGCCAACAUGACGUUCGUGGCAGGGCUCACAGGAGGUCCACAAGCUGCGGCCACAAGGCUGGCGCAGAAGAGCCAGCACUGAUGACACUUCUGUCCCCUCCAUCCGCCUGGUGCACGCCCGGCACCUGCUCAGGCCACGCGUGGCUUUGGAAGCAUCAGGCCGUCGUGUUCCCUCGAGAUGGGCCCUCUUACUCAAGAGGCGGGUGAAAUCAGGGCCUUCCAAAGGUGGGCAAGUGGCUGUGUGGGCCUACCGAGAGUAACCAAUCCAGAAGCGGGUGUCUGACACUGCCGCCGCCUCCCUCUAAACCUCACAGCCUGGGGAAUCCUCGAGUACUGCCUUUCUCUGAUUCUUGUGAGUCCUGUGGACGAUCCAGCCACUCUGUGGGGCGCGUAAGGGUUUGGUCUGAAGCGAGCAGCCAUUGCUGGCCAUCAGUAAGCCCAGGAGAGGAAAGUGAGUGAUAGAAGGAUCCCUCUACGUAAGGAUUUGACCAGUAACCCAGCAUCUAGGUCUGCUUCCCUUUACUCACAGACGGCUGUUCCAGGGUGUCCCCCUGUCUGCCUGUGAAUGGUGAAGGUGGGGCGCCCAGCAGAGGGAGAGUUUGCUCCCUUGCUAAUGUCUGAUCAGAGAUCAGGCUCCUACAGCAAAUGACGGAAUCGAUCAGAAGUUACACCUUUCGUCCCAUCUCAUGUGGCGAGACAUUUGUGUUGGGGUCACCAUGCUCAGAAAUCCUGCUUGCCUCCCACAGCCCCCACAUACCUGCAGCGGACCCAUCCCACCUGGGAGAUGUGGUUGGGUUUGGCCCUGGGGACCAGAGCCUCAGACCCGGUCUCCGCCGUCUGGGGCUAGCCCUCAUCCCUCACAUGGCUCCAAGGGAAGUGACCCACGCAGAGGAUGGAGAGGUGGACGCCAGCCUGCUUCCUGGCGGCUUCUUCCUCACGCACCAUCCCCAUUUCCCCCGCACGCUGGUUUCCUUGCAUCCGCCCUUAUGCAUCUACGGGCAAAACCCCAGCCAUGGGUCUGUCGCCCGGCCUGACUCCUCUGCCCCUCCCGGGGCAGCUCAGCUCUGCUUCCAAGAGG
ensembl:lncRNA